UCCUACGGGGGGCAGCAGUGAGGAAUAUUGGUCAAUGGGAGAGAUCCUGAACCAGCCAAGCCGCGUGAGGGAAGACGGCCCUAUGGGUUGUAAACCUCUUUUGUCGGAGAACAAAACCCGGGACGUGUCCCGGACUGCGUGUAUCCGAAGAAAAAGCAUCGGCUAACUCCGUGCCAGCAGCCGCGGUAAUACGGAGGAUGCGAGCGUUAUCCGGAUUUAUUGGGCGUAAAGCGAGUGCAGGCGGUUCAAUAAGUCUGAU
rnacentral:rRNA from 1 species